rnacentral:rRNA from 1 species
CCUACGGGAGGCAGCAGUGAGGAAUAUUGCACAAUGGGGGAAACCCUGAUGCAGCGACGCCGCGUGAGUGAAGAAGUAUUUCGGUAUGUAAAGCUCUAUCAGCAGGGAAGAAGAAAGACGGUACCUGAUUAAGAAGCCCCGGCUACCUACGUCCCAGCAGCCGCGGUAAUACGUAGGGGGCAAGCGUUAUCCGGUUUUACUGGGUGGAAAGGGAGCGUAGACGGCUGUGCAAGUCUGAAGUGAAAGCCCAGGGCUCAACCAUGGGACUGCUUUGGAAACUGUGGAGCUAGAGUGCUGGAGAGGUAAGUGGAAUUCCUAGUGUAGCGGUGAAAUGCGUAGAUAUUAGGAGGAACACCAGUGGCGAAGGCGGCUUACUGGACAGUAACUGACGUUGAGGCUCGAAAGCGUGGGGAGCAAACAGGAUUAGAUACCCUGGUAGUC